GACGAACGCUGGCGGCGUGGAUUAGGCAUGCAAGUCGAACGGUAUCAUCCUUUCGGGGGUGAGAGAGUGGCGAACUGGUGAGUAACACGUAGGUUAUCUACCCUCAAGACGGGGACAACCCAGGGAAACUUGGGCUAAUACCGGAUGUGAGCAACUUUUAGUUGUUUGAAAGGUGGCGUAAGCUGUCGCUUGGGGAUGAGCCUGCGUCCUAUUAGUUAGUUGGUGAGGUAACGGCUCACCUAGGCAAUGAUAGGUAGGCGGCCUUAACGGGUGGUCGCCCACACUGGGAUUGAGAUACGGCCCAGACUCCUACGGGAGGCAGCAGUCGAGAAUAGUCUACAAUGGUCGGAAGACUGAUAGUGCGACGCCGCGUGAACGAUGAAUCCCUUGGGGUGUAAAGUUCUUUUAUAUGUGAGCAGUGCUUCUUAUAUUAACAGUAUGGGGAAGAGAUAUUAGCAUAUGAAUAAGCAACGGCUAAACUCCGUGCCCAGCCAGCCCGACGGUAAAACAC
rnacentral:rRNA from 1 species